GGUCCUGCCUGGACCGCUGGCUGCCCUUCUCCCUGCCCGACUCCGUUGGGCCUUUGGCGCGAGUCUUCUCUUUCCUCUGCUGCUGCUUCUCCUGUUUGGCCAUCUGAAGAGACGCACAAAGAGCAGUCCAAGCUACACGGUACCAGGAUGAUGUGUGCCCCUCCCUCUUUCUGAUGUCUUUCUACCUGGCCCAGGUGAGCAGGUUUUGGUGGUUUCAUUUUGUGACGGUCUGACUUUCAGCAAAGAUCUACUGGAUGUUUGGCUGCUGAGGACUUUUCUCGGCUCUGCUAUAGACUUCUUGAGGUGACACAGUCAAAUGUGAGCUAUGAUAACUGCUGUAUUUUGAUUUCUAAGGCUUAAAAAUCUGAGUCAAUUUUUAGGAUUCUUUGAAGAUAUACAUUUUUUUCUCCUCGAUUUCUUCUUUUUAUACUUUAAUACCUAAUUUAAUGACAAAUUGAUUUAUUAAUCGAAAAACAAACUAAAACUACAAAGGUUUGUUUUGAUUUAACUUGAUUCUUAAAAUUUUGGUUCUUUUUUUUCUACAUGUUUUUCAAUAUUAAUGCGAACGUUUUGUUAAAGCUUUAAGAAACUGCUUUUUGUCAAGAUGACUGAAGUUCAUGUCUGUGGGUGGAUUCUCCAAAUCUUCAGAUGCCUUUUCCAGACUUUAAAAAUCUAUUUAAAAAAAAAAAAAAACUUUUUAUAUUUCAUGUAAUCUCCUUCACAGGAUAAGCAUUUAGCAGAUCAUUACACCUUUUUUUUAAGCAUAUAAUUUAAAAACAUUUUUUUAGUGUGUGGUAAUUCUGCUUUACUGCAU